ACGCUCGACAGUGCCAGCAGCCGCGGUAAUACAGAGGGUGCAAGCGUUAAUCGAAAUUACUGGGCGUAAAGGGUGCGUAGGUGGUUUAAUAAGUUAGAUGUGAAAGUCCUGGGCUCAACUUGGGGAUUGCGUCUGAUACUGUUAGGCUAGAGUUCUGUAGAGGGAGGUGGAAUUUCCGGAGUAGCGGUGAAAUGCGUAGAUAUCGGAAGGAACAUCAGUGGCGAAAGCGGCCUCCUGGACAGAGACUGACACUGAGGCACGAAAGCGUGGGGAGCAAACAGGAUUAGAUACCCUGGUAGUCCACGCUGUAAACGAUGAGAACUGGCUGUUGGGUCUCGUAAGGGACUUGGUAGCGAAGCAAACGCGUUAAGUUCUCCGCCUGAGGAGUACGGUCGCAAGAUUAAAACUC
rnacentral:rRNA from 1 species